UAUGUGAUCGUCUCUCGCAUAUCAAUAAGCGGAGGAAAAGAAACUAACAAGGAUUCCCUUAGUAACGGCAAGUGAAGCGGGAAGAGCUCAAAUUUGAAAUCUUAAAGGGUUUCCCUUUACGAAUUGUAGUUUAAAGAAGUGUUUUCUGUUGAGGUUUUGGUAAAAGUUCUUUGGAAUAGGACAUCAUAGAGGGUGAGAAUCCCGUAUUUGACCUUUACUUUCAACUUUGUGAUACACUUUCAAAGAGUCGGAUUGUUUGGGAAUGCAGUCCAAAAUGGGUGGUAAAUUUCAUCUAAAGCUAAAUAUUGGCGAGAGACCGAUAGCGAACAAGUACCGUGAGGGAAAGAUGAAAAGAACUUUGAAAAGAGAGUUAAACAGUACGUGAAAUUGUCAAAAGGGAAGCGUUUGACACCAGUGUUGUUUUUCUGAAAAUCAAUUAAAGAACUGUUUAUGCUAAGUUGUUUAGACUUUAUCAGCUAACUGUUUAGUUUUGAGCUUUUCUUUAAUGCACUUUUCAGUUAACAAGUCAACAUCAAUUUCUUUUGCUGUAAAAAAGCUUGAGGAAGGUGGCUUGAGAUUCGUCUUAAGUGUUUAUAGCCUCUUGCCUAUGCAGUCGGAGAGAUUGAGGUCUGCAGCGUAGAUCCUUCGGGGCUAAAUGCAUUUGUGCUAAGUUAUAGCAUUUCAUAGACAACUUGUUGACUAUGAUUUGUCUUGUAGCUUACUCGCUUAUGUUAUUUUACCUACGCUUAGGAUGUUGAUAUGCAUGACUGAUAU
rnacentral:rRNA from 1 species